rnacentral:rRNA from 1 species
AACUAGGAGGUUGGCUCAGAAGCAGCCACCCUUCAAAGAGUGCGUAACAGCUCACUAGUCGAGUGACCCUGCGCCGAAAAUGUACCGGGGCUAAGCAUACUACCGAAGCUGCGGAUUUGUAGAGAUACAAGUGGUAGGGGAGCGUUGCAUGCACGUGGAAGCCAUAUCGUGAGGAGUGGUGGAGAGCAUGGAAGUGAGAAUGCCGGUGUGAGUAGCGAGAUGUAGGUGAGAAUCCUACACACCGAUAGCCCAAGGAUUCCAGGGGAAGGUUCGUCCGCCCUGGGUAAGUCGGGACCUAACGCGAGGCCGAAAGGCGUAGUGGAUGGAAAACAGGCAGAUAUUCCUGUACCCGCGAUGGGAAGUGAAGGAAUGACGGAGAAGGCUAGCAUGACCCACUGAAUGGAUUGUGGGCGAAGCGGAGCAGCAGGUAUGUAGUGAAAUGCGCAUACGAAAUGCAGGACGUGAUAGGUAAGUGAACGUUUCGACAAGUAACGAAGCAUGUGAGGUCAGCUUCCAAGAAAAGUUUCUAAGCGAUUAAUCCCAUAGCGGCCCGUACCAAAACCGACACAGGUGGGCAAGGAGAGGAUCCUGAGGUGAGCGAGAGAACUGUUGCCAAGGAACUCGGCAAAAUGACUCCGUAAGUUAGCGAUAAGGAGUGCUAUGUAAAAGUAAGCCGCAGUGAAGAGGCCCAAGCGACUGUUUAACUAAAACACAGCUCUCUGCGAAGUCGCAAGACGAAGUAUAGGGGGUGACGCCUGCCCGGUGCUGGAAGGUUAAGAGGAUUUGUCAGUCGCAAGAUGAAGCAAUGAAUUGAAGCCCCAGUGAACGGCGGCCGUAACUAUAACGGUCCUAAGGUAGCGAAAUUCCUUGUCAGGUAAGUUCUGACCCGCACGAAAGGCGUAACGAUUUGGGCGCUGUCUCGGCAGCAGACUCGGUGAAAUCUUAGUACCUGUGAAAAUGCAGGUUACCCGCAACUAGACGGAAAGACCCCAUGGAGCUUUACUGUAGCUUGAUAUUGAGCUUUGAUCAGAGAUGUACAGGAUAGGUGGGAGACGAAGAGACGUGCACGCCAGUGUACGAGGAGUCGACGUUGGGAUACCACUCUUGUCUGAUUGAAGUUCUAACCUACACCCAUGAACUGGGUGAGGGACCGUGUCAGGCAGGCAGUUUGACUGGGGCGGUCGCCUCCUAAAGAGUAACGGAGGCGCCCAAAGGUACGCUCAGAUUGGAUGGAAAUCAAUCGACGAGUGCAAAUGCAGAAGCGUGCUUGACUGUGAGACAAACAAGUCGAACAGGGACGAAAGUCGGGAUUAGUGAUCCGGCGGUGCCGAAUGGAAGGGCCGUCGCUCAACGGAUAAAAGCUACCCUGGGGAUAACAGGCUGAUCUCGCCCAAGAGUUCACAUCGACGGCGAGGUUUGGCACCUCGAUGUCGGCUCAUCGCAUCCUGGAGCUGAAUUCGGUUCCAAGGGUUGGGCUGUCCGCCCAUUAAAGCGGUACGCGAGCUGGGUUCAGAACGUCGUGAGACAGUUCGGUCCCUAUCUGUUGUGGGCGAUGGAGAUUUGAGGAGAGCUGUCCUUAGUACGAGAGGACCGGGAUGGACCUACCGCUGGUGCACCAGUUGUUCCGCCAGGAGCAUAGCUGGGUAGCUAAGUAGGGAAGGGAUAAGCGCUGAAAGCAUCUAAGCGCGAAGCCUACUCCAAGAUGAGAUCUCCCAUGCACAAGAUGCAGUAAGACCCCUUGA